GAACGCACAUUGCACCUCAGAGUAUUCUUUGAGGUAUACCUGUUCGAGCGUCGUUUAGACCAUAAGGCUUUGCCUUGCGUUGAUGGCUUGGGAGUACAAUUUUUCUUUUGUUUACUUCCCAACUGUCCAAACAUGCUGGCGUCGUAGUUUGACCCAAGACACAACACAAUGUGACACUGGAACAAGCAAGCGAUUUGCCCUGAAUCACUGUUUCUCGUUAUAGAGAAACGUAGGUUCGACCUCGGAUCAGGUAAGACUACCCGCUGAACUUAAG
rnacentral:misc_RNA from 1 species